rnacentral:tRNA from 1 species
AGGGGUAUAGCUCAGUUGGUAGAGCGGCGGUCUCCAAAACCGUAGGUCGCGGGUUCGAGUCCUGUUGCCCCUGCCA